UGCCAGCAGCCGCGGUAAUACGUAGGGUGCGAGCGUUGUCCGGAAUUACUGGGCGUAAAGAGCUCGUAGGCGGUUUGUCACGUCGUCUGUGAAAUCCUAGGGCUUAACCCUGGACGUGCAGGCGAUACGGGCUGACUUGAGUACUACAGGGGAGACUGGAAUUUCUGGUGUAGCGGUGGAAUGCACAGAUAUCAGGAAGAACACCGAUGGCGAAGGCAGGUCUCUGGGUAGUAACUGACGCUGAGGAGCGAAAGCAUGGGUAGCGAACAGGAUUAGAUACCCUGGUAGUCCAUGCCGUAAACGGUGGGCGCUAGGUGUGGGGUUCCUUCCACGGGCUCCGCGCCGUAGCUAACGCAUUAAGCGCCCCGCCUGGGGAGUACGGCCGCAAGGCUAAAACUCAAAG
rnacentral:rRNA from 1 species